UGGGGAAUUUUGCACAAUGGGGGAAACCCUGAUGCAGCGACGCCGCGUGAUUUAGAAGGCCUUCGGGUUGUAAAAAUCUUUUCUAUGGGAAGAAAAUGACAGUACCAUAGGAAUAAGGACCGGCUAAUUACGUGCCAGCAGCCGCGGUAAUACGUAAGGUCCGAGCGUUGUCCGGAAUCAUUGGGCGUAAAGGGUACGUAGGCGGGUAAGCAAGUUAGAAGUGAAAUCCUAUAGCUCAACUAUAGUAAGCUUUUAAAACUGCUCAUCUUGAGGUAUGGAAGGGAAAGUGGAAUUCCUAGUGUAGCGGUGAAAGGCGCAGAUAUUAGGAGGAAUACCGGUGGCGAAGGCGACUUUCUGGCCAUAACCUGACGCUGAGGUACGAAAGCGUGGGUAGCAAACAGG
rnacentral:rRNA from 1 species